rnacentral:rRNA from 1 species
GAUGAACGCUGGCGGCGUGCCUAACACAUGCAAGUCGAGCGAACCCUUCGGGGUGAGCGGCGGACGGGUGAGUAACGCGUGGGUAACCUGCCCUAUACACACGGAUAACGUACCGAAAGGUACGCUAAUACGGGAUAAAGUUGUUGGAUGGCAUCUUCUAACAAUCAAAGCUCCGGCGGUAUAGGAUGGACCCGCGUCUGAUUAGCUAGUUGGUGAGGUAAUGGCUCACCAAGGCGACGAUCAGUAGCCGACCUGAGAGGGUGAUCGGCCACACUGGAACUGAGACACGGUCCAGACUCCUACGGGAGGCAGCAGUGGGGAAUAUUGCACAAUGGGCGAAAGCCUGAUGCAGCAACGCCGCGUGAGCGACGAAGGUCUUCGGAUCGUAAAGCUCUGUCCUCAAGGAAGAUAAUGACGGUACUUGAGGAGGAAGCCCCGGCUAACUACGUGCCAGCCGCCACCGUAA